rnacentral:lncRNA from 1 species
CUCCAACCAAGAGGUGGUCAUCACUCUAGGGGUGCUGCUGGGCAUUAGUGUGGCAGUGGCAGUGGUGUUGGCUGUUAUGUUUGUCAGGUUUAGAAAACAAAGAAAAAACGCUGACAACUUCUCGACUACAAACCUCUGCAUCGACAGCAACACGACAGAGGAGAAUUCAUUCCAGAGAGAAACCAGAAAUUCGGAUCAGAGCUCUCAUGGUACAAGAUGGACCCAUAAGCAGAAAGAAAAAGACAGUGACAGCAACACAGACAAUAGCCAGACCUCUACCUUCUGACAUUGUCCAGUCAACUGGGACAUAUCCAUUGGAGCGGAACAUAUACCUUACCCCGCCCCCGACGGAAAGGACACCCAGGUCCAUUUCCCAACAGUGUUACCAGUAAACAAAAAGGGGGGGGGGAGGGAAAAAAAAAAAAAAAAAAAAAAAAAAACUUUUAAAAAGUUCAACAGAAGGGAAUUUGAGAGAAACUGUAAAAAUGAAUUAUAUAAGGAUGCAGCACUAAUUCAGAGGAUGUAAUUAAGAGACCUAUAUGUACAGACACUGGAAAAUGCAUUUUAAUUGCAGAUUAAAUAAUUACAGUCCAAGUUUAUUAGGAUCCCUGUUCAUCCUUUUUAGUGAAUUUAUCUAAGUGGAUAUGAGAGUGGAGAGCUGUGUAUUAUUUAAGGGACAAUUAUUGAGUGCGUAGCUGAGGAUUAAAGUCUCAGGAAAAGGA